CUCGGCCCUGGGCCUUAUAAAACCCAGACCCGUUUACUUUCUUGACCGUGCCCGUCGUCCUCUCUUUCUCCGCACACAACAGAGAACCCGCAUUCAGCAAAGGGGGGUUGUGGGUGGUGGCCGCCGGUCGGGGAGAGAAAUUCGAGCGGAUUCGCGAGGGCGAGGCCAAGGGGAUUCGUCGAGGUUCUGCGAUGGUGGAGGGGAUGGCUUCGGAGAGGCAGCUGGUGGUGGUCGUCGAGGGCACGGCGGCGCUGGGGCCGUACUGGCCCGCCAUUGCGGCCGAGUACGUCGAGAAGAUCGUUCGGAGUUUUUGUUCUACUGAACUAUCAGGGCAGAAGCUUGCAGGGGUACCACCUGAGCUUGCAUUAGUUGUCUUCCAUACCCAUGGACCUUACAGUGCCUUUAUUGUACAACGCAGCGGUUGGACAAAAGAUAUGGAUGCUUUUCUUUCAUGGUUAUCAGGAAUAUCAUUUAGUGGUGGAGGCUUCAGUGAAGCUGCUAUUUGUGAAGGUCUUGCUGAAGCACUGAUGAUACUCCAAGGCAGUCCUGGUAGCAGCCAGAAUCAUCAAAAUCGUGAACUUCAAAAGCAUUGCCUACUUGUUGCUGCAAGUAAUCCUUACCCGCUGCCUACACCUGUCUACCGCCCUUCUGUUCAAAGUAGUGAUCACAAAAAGAGCAACGAAGCAACAAAGGAAUCAUGUCUUGCUGAUGCUGAGGCUGUUGCAGUCUCAUUUGCUCAGUCCUCUGUAUCGUUGUCGGUGGUAUCUCCUAAACAGCUACCAACACUGAAGGCAAUAUACAACGCGGGAAAGAGGAAUCCUCAAGCUUCUGAUCCAUCAGUUGAUCAUGCCAAAAAUCCACAUUUUCUUGUUUUGCUGUCUGAGAGUUUCAUGGAGGCUCGAACCGCUCUAAGCCAUCCUUUACCCGGGAACCUUGUCCCAAACCACACCAUUACAAAAAUGGAUACCGCACCUGCAGCUACUGUGCCAGGACCACCUUCGAAUGCCACUCCCUCAGUGAAUGGAACGAUGAUGGGACGGCAACCGACUGCAAAUGUUAAAGUGGAGCCGACAACUAUACCACCAAUGGUUUCUGCACCUGCAUUCUCUCAUAUGACACCUAUUUCAAAUGUUGCUUCUCAAGGUGUAUCAGCAAUGCAAACUUCUUCACCAUCGAUUAUUUCACAAGAAACAAAUGUUGCAAAUGAAAUAUUGCAAGAGCAUAAGCCUUUAGUAAACCCUAUCCAACAACAGGUUCGGCCUGGUGGCCCAGCAAAUGUUAGCAUCCUAAACAAUCUGUCACAACAUCGACACUCUUUAACAGCAGCUACCUCAAUGGGACCUAACAUGGGAGCAACACCUAUACAAGUGCACAUGUCAAACAUGAUAUCGAGUGGAAUGACAUCAACUCCCGCUGUCAUAUCUUCUAUAUCUGGAACAGUACAGCCAAUUGGUGCUCAACAGUUGGUACAGAACACAGCUCUCGGUUCUUUUGGGUCAAACACUUCUACUGUAUCUGGACAAGGUGGAAUUGGUACGAACCAAAACAUGAUAAAUAACCUUGGGACUACAGCUAUCUCUUCUAUGCCUACAAUGAUGCCAACACCAGGAAUGGUCCAGCAGACAGGAGUAAAUGCUCUUAGCGCGAACAACAGUUCUGCUAUGAAUAUGCCUCUGGCACAACAUCCUAAUGGCCAGCAACCAUCGAAGUAUGUCAAAAUUUGGGAGGGAACUUUGUCUGGGCAAAGGCAAGGACAACCUGUAUUUAUUUGUAAACUUGAAGGUUAUAGGAGUGGAACAGCGUCUGACACACUUGCUUCAGACUGGCCAGAAACGAUGCAGAUCGUGCGCCUCAUAGCCCAAGAGCAUAUGAACAACAAGCAGUAUGUUGGCAAGGCAGACUUUCUAGUAUUUCGAACAUUGAAUCAGCAUGGUUUCCUCGGACAACUACAAGAGAAGAAAUUGUGUGCAGUGAUUCAGCUACCUUCACAAACUUUGCUGUUGUCAGUGUCUGACAAAGCUGGGCGCCUCAUAGGAAUGCUGUUUCCAGGGGAUAUGGUGGUAUUCAAACCACAGGUCUCAACUCAGCAGCCACAGAUGCAGCCACAGCAGCAGCAGCAGCAGCUACAACAGCAGCAGCAGCAAAUACAGCAGCAACAGCAGCAACUACAGCAACUGCAACAGCAGCAACUACAACAGCACCAAAUGCAAAUGCAGCCUCAAGGCCAGCAACUUCAGCAGCAGCAGCAGAUGCAGCAAAUGCAACAGCAACAACAACAGAUGCAGCAAAUGCAACAUCAACAACAGCAGCAGCAGCAGCAGAUUCAGCAGCAGCAGCAGAUGCAGCAGCAGCAGCAGCAGAUUCAGCAGCAGCAGCAGAUGCAGCAGCAGCAGCAGCAGCAGCAGCAGCAACAGAUGCAGCAAAUGCAACAGCAGCAGCAGCAGCAGCCUCAACAACUCCAGCAGCAGCCGCAGAUGGUGGGUACAGGGAUGGGUCAGCAACAAUUCAUGCAGGGGCAUGGUCGGGCGGUGCAGAUGAUGCAAGGAAAGAUCGCGCCACAGGGCCCAGGCAACAUGUCUGGAGGAGGCUACCUAUCUUGAAAAUAUCGCGUGCUAGCAGGACACUCCUUGGGUUCAUGAGGCUCCUUGGAGAUUUGGCACACCCAAUUAGUGUGGUGGUUUUGUGCUUAUGUACAGAGCAUUCCGAGUCUGUCAGCUAGGAGGAGUUUGCUUACUAUCUCAUGUCUAGCCUGUAGCUGAGGUAUUCAUCAUCCUAUUGGAUGGUACAUUAGAAGAACAUAUUCAGAGGAUUGAUUGGAGAGGGACCUAUAAUCUGGAAUGAUUUGCUAAAGAUAAAGUUACAUUUUCACACCGUUGGACCGAACAUGCAUUUGAAUCUUCAUAUGUCCAAUAACUUACUGUAUUUCCUACUUAUCCAUGCUAAAUGGAGGCGCUGGGGAGGAGGCAUGGUGGUGUGUUAGGAAGAAUCCUGAUUGCUGGGUCAGGUAGAGAUGCGUCCCACAAAUGUUUUACGAGCCGGG
rnacentral:rRNA from 1 species